CGAGGAUCCAUUGGAGGGCAAGUCUGGUGCCAGCAGCUGCGGUAAUUCCAGCUCCAAUAGCGUAUAUUAAAGUUGUUGCGGUUAAAAAGCUCGUAGUUGGAUCUCAGCAGGGGACGGGGGGGUCCGCCUACCGGCGUUCCAUCCCCCGCUUUCCGGCAUUCGGCCGGUUUCUCCGGGAUGAUCUUCACCGGUCGUCCGGGGUGACCGGCGAGUUUACUUUGAAAAAAUUAGAGUGCUUAGAGCAGGCGCGACGCCUGGAUAAUGGUGCAUGGAAUAAUGGAAUAGGACCUCGGUUCUGUUUUGUUGGUUUUCGGAACCCGAGGUAAUGAUUAAGAGGGACAGACGGGGGCAUUCGUAUUGCGACGCUAGAGGUGAAAUUCUUGGACCGUCGCAAGACGAACCACUGCGAAAGCAUUUGCCAAGAAUGUUUCCAUUAACCAAGAACGAAAGUUAGAGGUUCGAAGGCGAUCAGAUACCGCCCUAGUUCUAACCAUAAACGAUGCCAGCCAGCGAUCCGGCUGUGUUCCU
rnacentral:rRNA from 1 species